GAUGAACGCUAGCGGCAGGCUUAACACAUGCAAGUCGAGGGGUAUAGUUCUUCGGAGCUAGAGACCGGCGCACGGGUGCGUAACGCGUAUGCAAUCUACCUUUUGCAGAGGGAUAGCCCAGAGAAAUUUGGGUUAAUACCUCAUAGUAUGUGAGAAUGGCAUCAUUUUCACAUUAAAGUCACAACGGCAAAAGAUGAGCAUGCGUCCCAUUAGCUUGUUGGUAAGGUAACGGCUUACCAAGGCAACGAUGGGUAGGGGUCCUGAGAGGGAGAUCCCCCACACUGGUACUGAGACACGGACCAGACUCCUACGGGAGGCAGCAGUGAGGAAUAUUGGACAAUGGGCGCAAGCCUGAUCCAGCCAUGCCGCGUGCAGGAUGACGGUCCUAUGGAUUGUAAACUGCUUUUGUACAGGAAGAAACACUGGUUCGUGAACCAGCUUGACGGUACUGUAAGAAUAAGGAUCGGCUAACUCUGUGCCAGCAGCCGCAGUAACAC
rnacentral:rRNA from 1 species